UAUAAUGAACAGGGCCAAGGCCAAGCUGAAAAGCACACAGGCAGUAACAGAAACCGGCCACCUUGAGGCUGAAGAGACGUCCCAGGAAAGGAUGGAAUCAUCAUGGCAUGUCCUUGCUAGAGAUCUCCUGCUCUCCGCUUCUUCCUGGUCUGCCAUGAUUAUGGAUGAUGCACAUUUUAAAGGAGGAGGAGAAAGGAUAGAUUCUCUUCUCCCUUCUAACAAGUCAAAGACAAACCACUCAACGGCUGCAAUGACGUGGCGUGGAGCCCAGCAGGAGAGGGGCCAGAACUCCACAGCUCUGCCAAACUCAGGGAACCACGUGUCCCAGCCUGUGUAGAAUAAAUAACAAAGUCAUAAACUC